GCGGGGCGACGUGGCGGGCGCCUGUAGUCCCAGCUACUCGGGAGGCUGAGGCAGGAGAAUGGCGUGAACCCAGGAGGCAGAGCUUGCAGUGAGCCGAGAUCUGGCCACUGCACUCCAGCCUGGGCGGCAGAGCGAGACUCCGNNNNNNNNNNGGUUUCAAGCAAAUAUUGUCAAGAGUCCGAACUUUUUUUUUUGUUUUUUUGAGACGAGUCUCACUCUGUUCCCCAGGCUGGAGUGCAGUGGCCAGAUCUCUGCUCACUGCAAGCUCCGCCUCCCGGGUUCAUGCCAUUCUCCUGCCUCAG
rnacentral:SRP_RNA from 1 species